rnacentral:misc_RNA from 1 species
GUUAGCUUCUAUGUUUAACUGUUUUGAUGAUGAUUUGGAAAUUUUGGCAUUGAACUCGAUAGCUUAAUUUUUUUGCUUGUCAAAUUGAUAUUAUUCCAAGAGUAGUGAAAAUUUUCAAAUCUUGUUGUUUCAGUUUGAAAUUCAUAUCGGAUUUUGUCAGUUUUUUGUAAUUAUGCAUAAAAACCCAGACUUGCUAUGUCGCUGUUGCUGGUGUUUUGAAUGGAUUAGAGACAGGGAUAUCUAAUUUCUUCAUGUAAUGUUCAGAGGCCGUUGCUGAUGCAAACAAA